rnacentral:rRNA from 1 species
AACGAACGCUGGCGGCAUGCCUAACACAUGCAAGUCGAACGAUACCUUCGGGUCUAGUGGCGCACGGGUGCGUAACGCGUGGGAACCUGCCCUUAGGUUCGGAAUAACUCCCCGAAAGGGGUGCUAAUACCGGAUAAUGUCUUCGGACCAAAGAUUUAUCGCCUUUGGAUGGGCCCGCGUUGGAUUAGCUAGUUGGUAGGGUAAAAGCCUACCAAGGCGACGAUCCAUAGCUGGUCUGAGAGGAUGAUCAGCCACACUGGGACUGAGACACGGCCCAGACUCUUACGGGAGGCAGCAGUGGGGAAUAUUGGACAAUGGGCGAAAGCCUGAUCCAGCAAUGCCGCGUGAGUGAUGAAGGCCUUAGGGUUGUAAAGCUCUUUUACCCGGGAUGAUAAUGACAGUACCGGGAGAAUAAGCUCCGGCUAACUCCGUG